rnacentral:rRNA from 1 species
AACGGGUGAGUAACGGGUGGGACAUGCCUUUCAGAAAGGAAUAACUUCAAGAAAUUGAUUGUAAUACCUUAUAAUGUAGAGAUACCAAAGGGAGAAAUCUCGCUGAAAGAUUGGCCUAUUUUGAUGAGUUGUUGGUAGGGUAAUGGCCUACCAAGCUAAGAGUCAUAACCGGUCUGAGAGGACGAUCGGUCACACUGGAACUGAGACACGGUCCAGACUCCUACGGGAGGCAGCAGUGAGGAAUAUUGGACAAUGGGGGAAACCCUGAUCCAGGGAUACCGCGUGGGUGAUAUAUAUAAAGCCCUUUUAGUAGAGAAGAAAAUCGUAAGAUUAGACGUUAUCUACAGAAAAAGCACCGGCUAACUCUGUGCCAGCAGCCGCGGUAAGACAGAGGGUGCAAGCGUUAUUCGGAAUUAUUGGGUGUAAAGGGUGCGUAGGUGGUACUAUAAGUCAAUAACGAAAUACCGGAGCUCAACUUCGGUGCUGUUAUAGAUACUGUAGAACUUGAGAAUGGGGGAAGUAAAUGGAAUUUCUAGUGAAGAGGUAAAAUUCGUAGAUAUUAGAAGGAACACCAGAGGCGAAGGCGAUUUACUAAAACAUAUCUGACACUGAGGCACGAAAGCGUGGGGAUCAAACGGGAUUAGAUACCCCGGUAGUCCACGCCCUAAAAGAUGAGGACUAGAUGUUGGAGUUUUCCAGUAUCGUAGCUAACGCGUUAAGUUCUCCACCUGGGUAGUAUAGUCGCAAGACCGAAACCCAAAGGAAUUGACGGGGACCCGCACAAGCGGUGGAACAUGUGGUUUAAUUCGAUAGUACGCGAUAAACCUUACCAACCCUUGACAUAUGAGGCGCCGGUUUAAGAAAUUAGACCUUCAUUUAGUUGGCCUCAAUACAGGUGCUGCACGGCCGUCGUCAGCUCGUGUCGUGAGAUGUAUGGUUAAGUCCAUAAACGAGCGUAACCCC